rnacentral:rRNA from 1 species
AUUGAACGCUGGCGGCAGGCCUAACACAUGCAAGUCGAGCGGAUGAAGGGAGCUUGCUCCUGGAUUCAGCGGCGGACGGGUGAGUAAUGCCUAGGAAUCUGCCUGGUAGUGGGGGAUAACGUCCGGAAACGGGCGCUAAUACCGCAUACGUCCUGAGGGAGAAAGUGGGGGAUCUUCGGACCUCACGCUAUCAGAUGAGCCUAGGUCGGAUUAGCUAGUUGGUGGGGUAAAGGCCUACCAAGGCGACGAUCCGUAACUGGUCUGAGAGGAUGAUCAGUCACACUGGAACUGAGACACGGUCCAGACUCCUACGGGAGGCAGCAGUGGGGAAUAUUGGACAAUGGCGAAAGCCUGAUCCAGCCAUGCCGCGUGUGUGAAGAAGGUCUUCGGAUUGUAAAGCACUUUAAGUUGGGAGGAAGGGCAGUAAGUUAAUACCUUGCUGUUUUGACGUUACCAACAGAAUAAGCACCGGCUAACUUCGUG